ensembl:ncRNA lncRNA:CR46228 long non-coding RNA:CR46228
UGCAUGCGUAAAUGAAUAUAGGCAGGAGCUGGAGCAAAAGGACGCUGGAAUUGAAAGUGGAACAAGUGCUCAGCCAGAGACAUGCACAGAUACACUUUAUGAACUACAACCGAAAUCCAAUUGAUUGUGCAGGCAAAGAGUCUCUGCCUGAGUCUACCAUUUUGGCAGGCCAAGUGCUUUGGUAGUCGGGAUGGAGUCUGAGUUGAUUGUGGCACGAAUUGUGGCCUCAGAGGCCACAGGAUUCACAAAUGAAAAUUCGAGCAACGCGUGGGCGGCAGGCCGCAAAGGAAAAUGGAAAACAGGAUGAGCAAGAGCGGAAUCUACAGCUUAGCACGAUAAUUU